CACAAAUCCAAGCCCCCUGCCUCAGGGACUAUCCCUGCAAGAGCCUGGGAAGCAGCCUAGGGCGCUUGAGUUGCGGAUGCAGUGCGGUAUCAACAGUCACCCUUAAGUACAUAUACGUAAAAAUGAGAGCCUCCCCAAACCUGAUGGAAGGGCUCUACCACCUCUGCCUGGGAGCUCUGGGCCACGUCAGUUCUACGCCCAGCGAGCCCCCUCCUUCCCGCCCUCUCCACGUUUCCUAGUCUCUCUUCCCUGCCUUUCCAGCUUCCAAGGACCUCCCUUCCAAUAGUGCUCACCCCAGCCUUUCUUCCUGCUAUAUCAGGCAGCCCAAAGCAGCAGCCAUCUUCCCUGACAGUCAAUUGCCUUCAUUCGCCGUUGGAACGAAUGGAGGAAAUAAAAGAUCCUAAGAUACCAAACAAAAGAUCUAUGAAUGGGAAAGAGAAAUUCACAGAAGUAAUAUUACCAAAGGAGAAAACAAACCCAGGACACGAGCUUUAUGGCAAUUCAGGAAUACAGUGUCAGUAUUAUGCUUUCUGAGGCCCUAACCCUGCAAUUGCAUCUGUAUGGGCAGACAAUUACACUUGCAUGGAGCCCCACUGAAGACAAUGAGGCUAUAUGUGGAUGCAGCAGUCUCCCAGAGCAGAACAAACUGAAGAAGGGCCCAGUUGUUGUCCUUUGUCAAUGGAGACCAAAGUUCAGAGGUGCUUUUGUGUGAGUUCACCUCGUGGGAGGUUGAAGGCACCUUGUCCAUUCCUCUAGCUGCUCGCCGCUCUCUCCAGUCGCUCUCCGCUGUUCAUCAUGCCACAGUUCACUCCACUGCUCCGUCGCUGCUGGCCCUGCGCCAUCACCUUCUGCUCCCACCUGCCACUGUGACCUUGAUGAAAACAGCAAGCUGUGUGGACUUAAAAAAUGAUUCUUGGAAUAAAACCAAAAAGGAAGUUUGGUCUCCUUUUUUUUUUAUCCAGACUGGCUACCCUCUUCCACACCAAAAUUCAUUCAAAAGGCUCCAUGUCAAGAAGUAACACCAUCACAACAACUGUUAAAGUAUUAGGGCCUAAACCCUUACUUAUUUACACGAGUAAUUCCUCUGAUUUCAAUAACACUAUCUUUGUGAGUAUGGCAUACCUGCAGGGCCAUCCCUAGAUGGGCGUGGGGCCUGAGGCAAAUCAGCCUGUAUGGGACCCCCUUAACAUUUUUUAUACAGGUGAAAUCUGGUUACAGUGAACUUCAAGGGCAGCUGCUGGCCGCAGGUUAAAUAUUGAUAG